rnacentral:lncRNA from 1 species
UAUCAAAAAGUAAAAACAUUGUCAGAACUCAGAAGUAAUCUUCUGCAGAAAACCCAGAGCAUGUACUUUGGAUCAAACUAUAUUAAAAUAGCACAGAACUCAUAGCACCUGACUCUACUAUUUAAUAUAUUAAAUAAAUUUUUGGUGACAGAGAAACAUUAAAAAAAUGACAUGUGGGAAUAUAAGAUAGGCAGUAGAAGGAUUUACUUUACCUGGAUUGUUUGGCGAUGUUGUUUGUAGACAUUUAUUUGAACCGUUGCUUUCUUCAGUUCUGAAUCAGUGCUCUUCACCACAUCAUAAUGCAAAUGCUCCUAGAAGUAAUGGGAAAUAAAAUGAUUUAUUUAUAAGCAUAUAGCAAAAGAAAAGAUAGAUCCUGAUAGGAAAAUAUUCUACUCUCCAGAAGCCAAUAGGAAAAAGAAACAAGUACAUAGUUUGAAUCUUCUUCAGGCUCAUAUAUAUCUAUGAUUCUUGAAAAGAAAAUAUUGAGCUGGAUCUACAAGUAUAAGUAAAUUCAGCAAUGUAAUCAGACGGAAAGAUUUGUUUCCUAAUUGCAACUCAAGAUAAUUCCGUUAACCUUCCCUAGAAACUAAGACGUGGCCAAGCCCUAACAUUCCUUUUUAUAUACAACAAGCCAAGUUUACCUAUCAAUAUAUAAACUACACGUGUAUGUGUUGCAGCAUAACGUUUCCAAUAUACAUUAUCAACAUACAAUCAUAUAUAUAGGUAUACAUACAGAACCUUGUAUUCCAAAGCAUUAAUUCCCUUGCAGACAAACUCAAAUAGAGUUUUGAGAUUUUCUGGGCUGGGAGCAGUUACAAAAAUAUUCGAAUACCUGAAGAAAAGAAAAGAAAAAGGGGGGGGGGGAAAGGAUCAACAAUAAUAGUAACGAGUAAAUUGCAUUUAAGAAAGCGAUUAGAGACCGCUAAGCUAAAAUCCAAAGCAACGAAAAAAAAAAAAAAGCAAAACGAAAGUUUUGCUUGAUUCAAGCAUAUAACCCUGCAACAACAGCUCCUGCAACAGCUAGACCCAGAGCAGCUGAUUUCCCACGCCCACGAGCAGCAAUUAAGGCAACAGUGUUCCGUAGUGUUCUAUCCAAAAUAGCUUCAAGAAAAUCAAUCACAGCUUUCCCCUGUACGUUAAAUUUAACCAGAUGCUCACUGAAGAAAAAUAUCUUGGAGGCAAAAGCAUUACGAGUUUAAUUAGGGCAAAGGUGGGAAAUAGCAGCACAAAAGAUGGGGCUCGAACCUGAUCCAAAGUGCAACACUUUCCAAUUAAAGGGCCAACUGGGAAAUCCUCACGGAAUUGUUCCUUUAGAUCCUUCAAUUCCCGCUCCCCUUCAGAUAACCCCUCAGGAUCCUUUACAAGAAGUGGAAGUGCAGACCAAGAUCAUUACAGAAACCUAAAGAAGCAACAAUGUUUGCCCUCCUAGCCUAGUUUCUGCUUUCAGCAGUAGCCACCUCUAGUAGAGAUUAAAGUGUUUGGUAAAUAGAAAAUUUUGGAGUUCCUACUAAAGUUGGGAGCAGAAAUGAGAUUCUAAGUCUCAAUAGCUGAAGCUCCAAUCUGGAUUUUCUACUUUUGAUGCAGAGAGAGGCUCUUAGGAGGAAUCUCAAUGAAAAAGGCUAUAAGUGCUUCUUCUAACAGUACUAGUUUAGAAGAACAAUAUAUAGGAGGCCAAACAGGCUGGUAGGUCACUAAGUGCUUUUUCAUAAUUCUUUAUCAAAAGAGCAUAUCAAAUUUUGCUCUAUGUUCUGCCGGAAAGAGAAAUAUGCAUGCAGUAAACUAAAUUGUGUAAUAAAAUUCCACAGAGAUGACCAUACCUCCAUGACUGAUACAGGUUUAAUUGAUCUUAUAUGGGAUGAUAUUGGUAAUAUGUUAAGCUCAUCAUCCAUUACAACACAGGCCUUGCAUGUCGCAAUAGAUAGUAAGAACCUCUCGUUAAACCUUGUAGCAGCCUGCGAAUGAGACUCUGUUCGAAACCUCUCAUGCACAUCCUGAAAUAAGUAUAUGAAACAUCAACAAGAAAUCAACAAGAAAGAGAAAGUUUUGUAGGUUAACAAAGAAAAAGAGAGAAUGGGGAAUUAUCUGAAGAUAAAGGAAAAAAAAACAAAAACAAAUUGGACAGUCAGAUAUGUUCAUAUGCAUGAAUUAUGAGAAUCAUGGGCCAUCGGGAAAAGAUAAUGCUCACAACGCUUAAAACAUUAGAGUAGGAGGUUUAGAUAAAUCUAAGAGAAGCAAAGUUAUGUGGCUGAAAAUAAAGAAAACUGAUCACUAGGAUAAAACUUUAUAUUGAAAUAUAAAGAAAGCUGGUCAUUUGAACAAAACUUUUAUAUUACAAGUAUUUGUCAAAUAAAAAAGCCAACAUUGUGUAGAGCUCUACAUAAAAGCUUUAGGAUUCAUGUCUAGUUAAUAAUAUUAACUCUUUUUAUUUUCUUUUGCUGAAUUAAGAUCUCAUUAAUCCAAUAAAAUAAGUGAAACCCGUUACAAAUUUUACAAAAAGACUACAUCUUAAAAACGAGGCUACUAUCAAGUAUCAACUCUCUUUUCACAAAACGACUACCCUAAAAGUCAUUGGAUGAAGAAAGCCUACCAUGACCAUGGUGUACAGACUAGUAAGAGAAGAAAGAGAACGAAGCAAGAGCACUAUCAAACCACCACCCUCGACAGUCUCAAUAGUUCUUGCUAGGAGAUUGGGUGUCAAUGCCUCAAAGUCCUACAAAGGAGCAUGGAGUUCACGUUAAUGGGGGGAAAAAACAACAAAGGUAGAUUGUAGACUGACAACUGGAAUCAAAUAUAAAUGACAACCUGGAGGAUGCACAUGCCAAAUGUAUUUCCAAGAAUUCUCUCUGAUUCUCUAUACAAGCAAUAUUUUAUAUCAGCAGUUUCCAGAAAAAGGGAAAAGGGAUCUGCUUUUUCAGGGUCCAUCAGUCCUCGCUGCAUCAGCUUCUUUAUCUGCUUUGCUCGUUUCUUCUUGUGACUAAUCAAGAUUUAUCAGUAGAGUUAGGAAAAUAUGAUGAUAUAAGAAACCAGAUUAAAAGAGAAAACAACUCGAUAUCCUGCCAAAUAAGCACCUGCUCACCAAAAGGAGCAAAAUUAACUUCACAACCUGCCAGGACUAGUUCACCUGGGAUCACGAUUGCAAAUUCCAAUGUGCACUUCCCGUGUCCUUAACGCAUUUGAUGUAUUUGUGAGUUUCAGUUCCAUUAAAUUCAAGAUAAGCAGUUAAUUAUUUUGCCACACACAGGAUCAAAUCCAAUUUGGAACUUUGUUGGAUUAGAACUGGAGAGAGAGAGAGAGAGAGAGAGAGAGAGAGAGAGAGAGAGAGUCCCAACCCAUCGCAGAGCCAGAUCGAACUCAAUAUAAUCAUUAUUGAAGUUAAAUAACAUAUAUUAUAAAUUCCUAUAGGCUAAAUAUAAGAAUAUUUCACACCUAAACUAACUAAUAUCCUUGAUUCACCUUCUUCAGUGUCCUGCUAGGAGAUAUAUCAGGUCCACUUGGUUAGAGUGGAACACAAUGCUGAGUUUCCAAACAAAAAUAUAAACUUCCAAUUGCACUGGAAGCACACAUAAUUGACACUUAAGGGCCCAUAUUGCUCGGGUUAGUAGCAUCAUACACCAGGUCAAAGUGCAAGGCUAUGAGCUAAACUAAACUAUCUAAUAACAGCCACAUUUUCCAUCAAACUGUCUACUUGAAAAUUUGGCUAUUGCAUUCAAGGGAAGACAUUGUAAAAAAGGCUCGUAUAAGAACAGUAUCCUAGAAAGUAGGAACAAUUCUUUUGCAUUAAAAUUAAGAACAAGAACCUGCUGAUCUCAAGCUUCUCCUUAUAGCACCAUAGUACUGUAGGGCGAGAUUUUACAACCGCCUUGCUGCGCAUGUAGUUGAGAUUCACAAUCUGUCACCAUUAAAAUGUCCAAUUAGCUCAAAAAGUGUAAUAGAAAGUAAACAGUAUUACUGAAUCACGCCUCACACACACAUCAGUAAUGAAAAAAAUUAAAAAAUAUAUUUUUAACAGAUAAACUACUUUGAUUUAACUAGUAAGUUAAUCGGGGCCGCUUAACAAUUAAACUCAUUUAAUAAUUGAUAAUUCGAACGUAGCAAAGUUCAACUGUUCUUCAUCGCGGCCAUCUCGGAACUCGCCCAUUAAUGCAAAGACAAUCAGCAUGUACAAUCCAUUAAUCGGUGUUGCUUACAGAAGAAUACACUCUCAGUUUCUAAUACAUUAAUGGUGCGAGGGAGCCAAAAAUCGAAUUUUCGGGGCCUAUACGGAUGCUCCUUAGUGAAGAAAUUGCGAGGAUGAGGAGGAGACCUGGUCGCGGGACUUGUCGCCGACGAUGAUGAACAUGGAGCGGUGCCUGAGCUUGACGCCAUUCUCGAUUAGGGUUCGGAUGCGAUCGUCCACCUUCUUCCUCAUCGUCCCAGGCGAGCUCGGGCGCGGUCAGUCGAAGUAGCGGGCGGAGGAAGGACUUCGCAGCGGCGGCGGCGGCGGCGGCGGCGGAGGAGGAGAAAGAGGAGGAGGUGGAGGAGGAAGGGAAUAAUGGCGACAGGCGAAGAGGUUUAAGGAGGAAGAAGACGAGGGUUUUGGUCCUUGAGUACAAUGAGGGGAAAGGCUUCGUUCCAAUGGGCCCAUAUUUUGUGGGCUCGCGGGUGCGAUACGUGCCAGAUCUAUCUGCCGGUCCUGAUUACUGAACUACGGCCUAAUAGGCCUAAAUACGGCCUAGAAGUGACCUGGGGUGACGAUCGCCGAGCCCAACCGUCUCUGACCUUAUCCGACGUGAUCGUGAGUGCCAUAGGGCCUAAUCUAUCCAAUGGGCCGAAUACUGAACUGGAGUCCAAUGGGCCCAAAAUCUGCCCACCUCUCAUUAUUUAGCGAGGCUACAAUUUUGGAGAGGGCAAGCCCCUGUGCACCCCGUUCGCCAGGUCAGCCGUGGACCUUUUUUUUUAAUUAAUACUUUAAUUCGACGUUCAAGAAUGAAAUUAACACCAAGGUCAAGCUUAGAGAUCAAAACUGAAAUCUAGACCAUACUACUGAGUUUACAUUGAAAUUCUAAGAACGAACUUGAAACUGCGGCGAUCGUUGGGGCGACAUUGAAUCUAAGUCAAAUUCUGGGGAGAAAUCUCUAAUUAGCCCUUUUUUAUCUCAAAUUUUGGGGUCAAAACUGUUUAAUAUAAUCUGCCAUGCUGUGAGAUGGUGUUGACGGAUUGGUAGGGACAUUGAAAUAGUCAAAUUCUGAGGAGAGAUCUCUAAUUAACCCUUUUUUAUGUCAAAUUUUGGGAGCAAAACUGUUUGAUUUAAUCUGAGUCAAAUUCUGAUGUUUAAAUAUAAUAUGCCGUGAGAAGGUGUUGACGGAUUGAUAGGGAAUCAGAUAUAGGCGUGGUCAGAUUAUUUAGGGAAUCGGAUAUAGCCGCGGUUAGAUUACUUUAGGAUUUCUGAGAUGAAGUGGCCUGAGGUCCAAAAGUGAAUAACGUCGUAGUUGGCCCCAACUGUAUAUAUAUACAUAUGAAAACAAUAAAAAUUUUAAAAAAGGGAAGUAAAAAAAGAAUGACGAGUUAUUUCUCCCGAGGAAGAUGGAGCACAAUAUUUAAGAGUGACUCCGCGUAGCUACCCAACAUAUGAAAAUGAACCCAAAAUAAAAAAUAAAAAAAAAGAAGAGUUUCUAAAGAUAAAUAAUAGAUCGAGGUGUGAUGUCCAUUAGACUUGCCAAAUCACUAACGGAGACGGUACGCGGAAGGGAGUUCCCGUGAUCGUCGAGCAACUGUAGAUCAUAAUAUUAUCACUGUGGUUCAAACAUAAAAUGGACGUACAGAAAUCUGAACAGCAACGAGACGAGUAAUCAACUAUCGUGAACUUUACAAAUAGCUACAUAUACGAAUUACUGAAAAAUUGAAUAUUCACUGAGCACUCUACAAACAUAAUGCAUGUUCAACCAGAGUUAAAAAGGUGCCUCUAAUCACUGUCGAUUCGAGCGAAGUAAACGAAAAUGAGCAGCGAAGGAAUCAUAGUCCGGUAGUUUAGGGUGAAUAUGAGAAGCACUACUCGAAGUUGAGGAAGCUUCCGCCGAUGCUGAUCCUGCGGUAAUGGUUGCGGUUGUUGCAUCAUUCUCAUCUUCUACAAGACGAGCUUGAUUACUGCCAAGUGCUGAUGACUUUGAAGCUUCCUUGAAUGAUGGAGAUGCCGACUCCAAAGGUUUUGUAGAAGGUUGUUGAAUCAACAAAUCCGACCGCAUAGAUAUUUCUUCACCAUCUAAAAUUUUCUCAGGUGUUGCACCUGGAAAAGGCUCACGAUUUCUCCACUUCCUGCGCGUACUUUCCACUUGCUUAUUAAUUUCUUUACUAGGUUCGGUGUGAGUUUUAGAAAUACCACCUUUUGUGCCCUCUGAUGUUGUGCCUUUUGUCCUUCUUGAAAGCUUUAUAUCUCCACUUCCUCUUCUUCCAAUGUCUUGGACUGGCUCCAAAUCCUCUACCUCGUUACCACCGAAAUCAAAAUAAUUUACUGGCCUUCUUGAUUUCGAUUCUUUGGAUUCUGUUUGGCCUGGUUUGCUAUCAUGCAGCUCAUGCCCAGAAUCUGCAGCGCUCAAAAAGCUCUUAGUUGAUGAUUUCCAAGCAGUAGGAGAAAUAUCUGGUGUUUCUUUUAUUGGAGUAGAAGCUCUUUCUCUGUAAUUUCUUCUCGAAGUAGGCAGCAGCUUUUCUCUACUAUCUGGACCAAAGUAUGUUUGGGAAGAUUCUAAACUUGAUCCUUCUUCAUAUGACUCUUCAAUAUUCUUGAAAGCCUCAUCGGACGAUUGCUUGGAGGGCACAGACAUAUCUUGCAUGGGUUUCCUCGUGUAAGGUGCAUGCUGGUAACCUCUAUUUUUGAGCCCACCUGUUAAUUUUCCAAGGUCCAAACCCUUUUCACUUUCAUAGUCAUUAUCAGCAAUCUCAGGGUGUUUAGAAGUCGAUGGCAAUUGUUUCUUUGCUCCUCUUUCUUCCAUGGAUAAAACUUCAGAUGAUUGCCACAAUUCUGUAUCAUCCAAGUUACUCAGAAGCUUGUCAUUUCUAUAAGAUUGCUCGUCAUUCGGCCGAGUCAAAGAAGAUGUCUUCCCAUAUGUAUCUGCAAUGCUUGAUUCAGCUUCUUUCUUUGUCUCUUUAACAUCAGAGACAAAAGAUGGAGAACUCCUCUUAUCUUCUUUAUCUUCUUGAUGGUCGCCAGAAUGACCAGAAACACCCAAAUAAGAGUCUUUCCUUAAGACACUCUGCUUAUGCAGCAUAGAUUCAUGAAUUUCAUCCUCGUUAUCGGAGCUGAAACCAUCCGAGUCAAAAGAUGGUGGCAGAUCAUCAUCUAAACGUGGCGGGGUUGAAUUUGUUUUCAUCUCUUUUGCUUUGUCUUCCAGGUAGGGUCCACUCACAGGAGGGGAGAAGGGACUUCCACUACCCCAGUGUCCACUCUUUUGCUCCUUAGAACCCCAAAUAUUAUUAGGCGAGAAAAUAGAAUUCUCACCAAAUUUAGAUGAUUCUUCCCUUUUGCGUAGCGAAUUGUCUCUGCUUUUAUUACCAAACACCAUAGGAUCUUCAGUAUCAGAACCAUAUCGAUCAAAAACUGCAGUAGAAGAAUCAGCAAAUGUUGUAUUAUCAAAAUGCUCAUCCCAAAUGGUCUCCUUGUAGAUCGUAGAUGUAUCAUUACCAGAAGAAAGCGACUUGCUAUAGUUAUUCGUGUUGUUAUUUCCCUUCUUGUGAUCAUUAACUGUGAAUUCCAUCUCUGAGAAUCUUUUCUCAGAAUUAUCAUAGGUCCUGACAUCUGUCUUUUCAAUUGUGUUCCUCAGUUCAUCAUGAUCAUCCUCCAUUGAUGAGACGCUGGAAUGGGAUGGAGAUGGAGACAGUCGACGUGAUGUAGUAUCCAUACUGGAAGAAUCAACAGAAGUGCUUUUCGCUUCUUUAUUUAAGCUAGUUUGAGAUGCUUGUGGAUACGUUCUCAUCCUAUCAGAGCUGCUUCUAUCUGGUGAAUGUACAGACUGCUUAUCAAUAUCUUCAACUUGACCUUUGCUGGGUCUGUAUUUGAAACUGUUAUUUGAUGAUUUAGAUUCAGCGGAAUUCUGUCUAGCAAGUUCAGCAGCAGCCCUAGCAGCGAAGCUAGCUCUUUCUGCAGACUCUGCUGCUGCCUGAGCAGCAGAGGCCGCAUCCUUGAAUUCAAUUUUCCAAUUUGUCUUAUUAAAAGAAGCUUUGUUUUCCUUCGAAUGCGGAGGUUCAACUUCUUCCGUUACACCCUUAGGUUCUGUUAACAGACGUCAAAAUUGUCCGUUAAAAAAAGGAAAAAUCUUACUAAGAAAGUGAAGAAAAUGAGAGGGCUAAUUGAAUUUACCCAUAUCAGAUGUUUCUGAAUAAGAUUGAGAACUAAGAGGUACCGAAGUUUGAGGAGAAUCGGCAAUUUUCUUGUUAGAAAGCAUACUAUGACUGCUUGUCUCGUUGACAAUUACAUGUUCAGACAUUCUCUUGAUUGGUUCAUCCUUGGGCAGGGCAGAGGGUGGCUUAAGAUCAAAGGAUUGCCCAAAAUGAACAUUGGCACUUAUAAAAGUUGUAGGGCCAUCCUAAUCAAUCAUGUAAAUAAAGAAUUUAUAUGCUAUUAGUAGCAAGACAAUAGCCAUGUAAUGACAAACAAGAUCUAAUCUGUCAUCUAUCAAAAAGACCAAAAAAAAGAGAAAGAAAAAUCUAAACCAUAAACUUUACCAGUCGAUCAUCAAUUGGUUGUUGAAUUUGCUCCUCAAUUACUUUCGGUUCCCACUUGACAUUAUGCUCUUCAGCUACUGCAGUCAAUAUUUUGAGUUUGGUCUCUAUAUCAGGUGCUCUAGCUGACAAUUUCUCGACGACCUAUAUGUUGAAGAUGUCAAAAAAAUUUCAGAAAUCUGAAAUGUAUUCAAAUUAUUCUCCAUGCCACAUAAAUAAAUCUUUUUCCCUGACUAAAGGAAGAAGACUGGGAAACUGAAUAAGAAACUAACAAGAUGGCUAACACCGCAUUGUGGUCGAACUUCAAGAGCUGCAGUAACAAAUUCUUUGCCAUACUUCGCUGAAAAAUGCUUGCGGAUAUCCAUCAAUUCUGGUACAUCUGCACAUCUUGGUGAUGCAAAUACUAUACUAGCUAUUGCUUCUUUCAGAUCAAUUGGACAGUUCCUAUAAAGCCAAAAGAAAAAAAAAAAAGGGAAAAGAAAUAUUUUUAGAAGGUGAAACCAUGUCAAACAUGAUUUCAAAGAGCAGAAAACGUAAUGAGAAGAAUGUAAUGAGAACACUAAAGAAAAAAAACAUCAAUAAAAGACCGUGCCAUAUGACCAACUACACCAACAACAUUCAAGUGGACAGAAAAAGAAGCAACUGUUUGCUUGAAAGGCAAAUGAGAGUGACACCCCACUUCCCAAGGAGUCACCCAUCCUAGGACUACUCUAACCCUAGCACACUUAACUCUUUUAACCUCUUGGGCCUAGACACCGCUCAAAUUACUAUAGCUGGGUUAAGAAGUUUAGCCCUAUUAUAUUUCAUAUAUAGGACUACCGAGGUUUCACAAUGAGAAUAAGCGUAACUUCAUGAGUAGGGCCUUUACAGUAUUCUGCUAAAUAAACAAAUCCAAUAUAGAUUAUACUAAACAAUCAAUUGCUUCCUGAAGUUCUAUUUGAUUUUGGAACAACAAUGCCUGAUGUUAAUUUUUUUCUAAAUCUCCAUUACUUUUCAUUGUUUUAAGUAAAAGAGAAUUUGCUCCUAUAUACAUGAUGCGUCGCAUUAAUGUACUCCAAUAUACCCAAAAAUAAACAUAAUAGAGAGAGUAGAGUUUGGCAAUAGCAUUUGAAAUAACUGCAAGAAAACAAUGAAGAUUAGGUAUCACCAUACUUCUGUGACUCGAUCAUCGGCAUGCGCGCCAUGAUAAGUUCACAGUAUACUGAAAUCAGAUCAUAUGCUGACAUUGUCUUCUCUUCCCUGAUGACAUGUUCAACCUGCAAACACAGUAGAACAAAAUUAAACAAAUGUUGAGUGCAACAGACUUCAUUUGGUCAAGGCUUAGAAUUGCAACCGAUAAUUAAAAUCACAUUCCCUUUUUGUUGAUAACCAAUUAAUGAUAAUCUACUUAAUGCAUCAUGCAUGGAACUUGCUGGCCAAACACAAUGGGGGAAAGCAUAACAAUAUCCACUAGAAUAAUCACUACAUCAGCUGGGCACAAGUUAGGGCACAUGUUAGGGCUCACAUACGUGCCAAGGUAGGCCAAAAUGGUGAGGCAAACUAGACUUCAAAUGAAAAACAGCAACUACUCAUCUAAUUCAAAAAAAGAAAAGGGAGAAGAAAAAAUGGUUUGGGAUUCUAAAAUAAAACUAACAGAAAAUUAUUUAUUUCAGUUAUCCAUUAAACAGAAAAGGUCCUUCAGUAAUACUAAAAAAAACAAAUGAAGAUCUACAUUAAUAAGGUCAGCUCUUGAAAGGUAAGCAUAUUUGGAAAAAGAAGCAAAGUCCAUCAAACCAAUGAACACAAUAUGCUAAUAUUUAUGAACAAAAAUAAGUCCAAAAACAAGGAGACAGGUGGAAAAAUAGAAUUCAAAUAAAGAAAGAGCGAAAGAGAUAAAUAGUAAUAAAACUGAAAGUUGCUUUCUCUUUGUCCAACAACAAGAGCCAAUAUAUGAUCAUAACUUUGGCCAGCAAAAAGCUACAAUUAACACCAAGAAACUUUUUCGUCCCAAGAAAAAAAAAAAACCCAUCAAAGAACUUCAGUCCUUCAGAAGUCCUAAAGUAAAGAAUUUAAGAAUUGUGUGUUAAGCUGGUCAAUAUACCUAAAAGACCACUGAUUAGGACAAUAAAUAAGCAAACACCAUACUGUUCGCAUGAUUUAACUUCAAAAUAAGAAGAAACUGCCAUAAUGACUAGAACAUAGAAGUUGUAACUUAAGUUCAACAGCACACCCUCUGAUUAUUAACCUUAUAUGCUUUUCAACAAUAUAAUCAAGCAAUUGAUAUCUGCCAGAUGGCAAAGAUCCAAUUCAGUUGCUUUUCAGUUUUCAGUGAUUGUUUUUCUCAUACCUACGUUCUAUCAUUAGGUCGCAACUUAAGAAUAGAUGCAAGAAUAUGGCUAAAUACAUAAAUAUUUUGUAAAUGGUUGGCAAUUCAGAGGAUAGACAAGGUAAACCAGACCACCAAUAAUCUUUCUAAAAAAACGAGAGCGAUAAAUGAGUACACAAUACAAGAACAACAAAGACAACAUCAAGGACGCACAGCAUCCAACUUACAGGAGUAUGUAAUUUAACACAAUUUCUGCCAACCUAACAGCUCCCAACUAACUGCAUCUCAUUCUAUCAAUAAAUAUCCUGUAGCUACCCACUAACGAAGAUUCUGUUUGCGUAGUUAACCACUAACCUUGCUUGUUGGAUUAAAAUAAGCAUGUUCCGUGUCCUCAAAAAAAGAUGAUUUCAAGCAGAUUCCUAAUUUACAAGGAACGCAGAGUCGGUGCCCCCAAGGAACAGUUCUUGAAAUUGUAAGAAUCGAAUUACUUCCUUUGCAUUAAUAUUGGUGGAAUUAAGAAGACUAAAUGAAGCCCAAAAACAAAAAACUCGAGAUACAAUCUGAUCAGGGGAAAAAACUCUUAAAUCGGAAAUUUCCAACUAACCAUCGAAGAACUUCAAGUACAGAGUAAUACAGAUGGUCAAUCAGAUUAGGAUAUAUCCUAAAAAUGUAAAAAAUGAUGAUGGGGAGAAUGUAAAGCUUCACAACGUGACGACAUAUACAAUCUCACUAAAAAAAUUUAAAAAAAAUACUGAAGAAAACAUAUAAAUACCAUAAAAAAAUUACUAAGUAAGAUAUCAACAAAGAUCUAGUAUAACUCCCGCACAACAUAAUCAAAUGUUCAAUACGACAAAUAAUCCCAUUAUGUAUAAGGAAUGAAAUAAAAACGAACCCUGAUCCGCGCGGUUUGAUCUUGGCCCGUCUCCAGAAGCUGCGCCAACUCCCGCCUCAUCUGCUUGAUCUGCACCUCUCUCUUGUUCCUCAGAAGCUUUAAACGGGCCACCGCAAGCCUCAGCGACGUCUUGCUGUCGCCAGAUCAACUCAAAAAUUAACCAAAAACUCCAACAAAAAUCGAGGAAACAGGACGCAAAAAUCAGUAAAAUCAAUCAAAAUCCUUCACCGAAUCAGCUCAAAAAUAAACCAAAAAUUCCAACGCAGGAUUAAAAAAAAAAUAACUGCAAAAUUAGUGCAAAUCCUUCAAUCGAGGAUCGAACUAAACGAAUAAGAGAUCGAAAUUACCAUUUAUCAGGCUUGAAUCCCUUGGAGAGCAUCCCUGACAUCUUCGACUUGGCAUGCAUCGUGCUCUCUUCGAAUUCGAUCGAUUCGGGGUGGAACUAUCGGCUAGGAAGGAGAAGAGCUAGGGUUUGGGUAAUCGACUCGAACUCUCCUCGAUGUUUUUAAUGCUCGAUUGAGAUCUCGAUCGGGAUAAGAAGAGGAGAGAGAGAGAGAGAGAGAGAGAGAGAGCAGUGAAUUUCGUGUUGGGCGAUUCGAUGCACCGCGACGACUCUUUGGCUUCCUUCCAACGAGAAGGAAAAAAAUUUUGGCACAAAAUGACGAAGCUGUCCUCAGCGGAAAAAGCAGAGCGGCGGCCCUUUGUUUCUGUACUUGGCUUGCGAUACGCGUCAUCAACUGCCAGAGUUUUUCCUUUUCUGUUUUGUUCAGAGAUCUCGUUAGUAUUUUUUUUUAACUAGUGGAGAAAAACGAUCCUGACCAUAACAGGAGUUGUACAUUUUGUGCUCAGUAUAUUUACCAAACUUUAAUUUGAUCUUUAGUUCUAUGUUUAAAUCUCGUCAUACAUUAAAUUACAUAGUUUUUAAAAUUUUAGAUUAUUAACGUUAAGAGUUUCAAUGGAGCAGAGAAUUAAUAGAUAUAAUAAUAUAAACAAAUCUAAAAGGUUUACGUACGGGCGGGUAAUUUGGGAUUUUAACACAAAAAAAAGAAGGGGGCAAUUUCGGGAAGAGGAAGAUCGGACGGGUUUAUGAACGCCCCUUGCCCGCGUGCCCUAUUAUCGUGUGGGCCCAGUAGCCCGCAGCGACUCAUUCUGGGCCGUUACACAUGUACGCGCACAUAAGGGAGAGCUGUACCGUCUCCAUACACGAUCCAACGAGAGAUCCUCGUCAAAAAAGGCAACUUAAUUAAGAUCUCUCUCUCUUCUAAAGAUGAAAAAGAGAUAUCCGGUCGGUAAGAAAAAUAAAAUAACUUCACGGACCAAAUUGAAUAAAGAGGUAAUUAAUGAAUAGCAAAGUGGAAAUUUAUUAAAAGUAACGAGUGAAAGUUGAGUAUAUGCAUAGACAUUAGCGCAAUUGAAGUAACCGUGUGGUUGGAGGGAAAGUAACGAAGUGUGUUGCCCCUUCACAAGUUUCUAUAGGAGGAAUUUGAUUAUGAUAAAAGUAAUUUAUGCGCUGUGUAGUUCAGCAAAAAAAAAAAAAAAAAACCCAUUUGGAUCUCAUGAAACAGUAUAUUACUAUGUAGUUACCCGCGUUACGAAGUAGUAUGGUUAAAAUAAAAUUUAUAAAAAUAAAUAUCAGUUUAGUAUAAAAAAUAAUAUAAUAUAGUCUAUAUUAUAGACAAAUACUUAUUUUAACAAAAAAUAUAUGAAAAAGAAUCAAUCAUUCCAACAAUUAUUCAUUUGCUCAAAAGUAUCGCUAUCAUGCAAAUAGAUGAUUAAAUUAUUUUUAUAAACAAUAAUAAAAAAUUCAUAUUGUAAUUAAUAUGACUAAAGAAAGGCUCCACAUAAUAGUAAAACAAUUUAAGUUAUAUAUAUAUAUAUAUGAUAUUAUAUAUAUAUAUAGAGUGGGCUGGUAUGCUUCGUAGCACGGAGGCCUCCGUAUUUACCACUUUGUUUUCGGAUGUUCGGACUUUCGGAAUUACAUCGGCUCCGUUAGAGUUGAUCUAGAGUAUUUAAAGUACCAAGAAAUUAAAUUUUGCGAUUUUUCGAUAUCAUUUGCCUAGUGAUCGAAGGGGCUCAAAAUCAAUAAUUUUAACGGCCGUGGUGAGCCGGUUGCAAGUUUAACGGUGUAGAAAUAUCCAAAUCACGUGAAAUUUUGGUAGAAAAUUCUUUAUACCAUAUAAAACAAGAUCAAUAACUUUGAUCUAAAAUUUUAAUGUCAUAUCAUCAUAUUUUGUGAGAUUUUUAUUUUCAGCCGUUGAUUUUGAGCCACUUCGAUCACUAGGCAAAUGAUAUCGAAAAAUCGCAAAAUUUAUUUUCUAGAUACUUCAAAUACUCUAGAUCAAGUCUAACGGAGCCGAUCGUCGAUUUGAAAGUGCCAACAUCGAAAACAAAGUGGAAGCACGGAGCGCUCCGUGCUUCCGAAAGCAUCCCAGACGCACUCUAUAUAUAUAUAUAUAUAGUUGAGUUGGAAUGCUAUCGGUAGCAAACGGGCUCCGUUGCCAUCCAUUUGUUUUCGACGAUGGAGCUUUCAAAUCGACGAUCGGCACCGUUAAACAUGAUCUAUAUCACUUGAAGUAUUUAUAAAUUAAAUUUCAAAUCUUUUCGAUAUCAUUUACCUAAUGAUCAAAGGGUUUCAAAAUUAGUAAUUUUAAUGGUUGAUAUGAGAGGUUUUCUCGUUUAACGGUGUAACGCUAUCCAAAUCAAUUGAAUUUUGAUUAGAAAAUUCUUUAAACUAUUUAGAACAAGAUCUAUAUUCUCAAUCAUGAUUACAAAAUUUCUAUCAUCGCUUUUUAGAGGAUAUUCAUUUUCAGCCAUUCAUUUUUACGCCCACUUGGUGGACAAGAAAACAAUAUCGAAAAAAUGUGAAAUUUGAUUUCUAGAUACUUCAAGUGGUAUAGAUUAUGUUCAACGGUGCCGAUCGUCGAUUUGGAGGCUCCAUCAUCGAAAACAAAUGGGUGGCAACAGAGCCCGUUUGCUACUGAUAGUAUUCCAGCUCAACUCUCUCUCUCUCUAUCUCUCUCUCUCUCUCUCUCUCUCUAUAUAUAUAUAUAUAUAUAUAUAUUACUUUUAAUCAAUUAAUUGACUCCGAAUAUGAAAUACAACAAAGGUCCGAAUUUGCAAAUUUAAGAAAGAGGGUGGAAGAUCAAAAGGUAAAGAAAAUGGGUUAAAAAAAAAACUUUUUAGGCCUUAGUAAAACUAAAGAAAAUGAGAAAAAGUUAAAAAAAAAAAAAAAAUAGGCCUCACUUCUUCUCAAAUUAAAGGAAUGGAUACAUAUAGGAUUUGGUCAUGGAGAUUAAUGCAUAGAUAUAGAUAUAGAUAUAGAUAUAGAUAUGUAUUAUUGAUAACUCGCUAUGUUAAUCAACUUAAUAUUACAUUUCGCACUUGUGUUGAGUCAAUAGAAAAUCUUCAUAUUAAGUUCAUCAAUUAUAAUAAUAUUACAAAAGAUCCGUAACAGUAGUCGCUAAUUGUUGGAAUACAAGCAUGUGAUCAUUUCUUAACAUGUUCUGAUGAACAGUCUAGCAUGCCGCGCCAUGUACUUACCGCUGACUUGACUUCAAUGUAAGGGUUGCGUCUUGAGCCCACCCAUUUUGGAAUUUGACCCAACUGAAGGGUCAAACUUUUUUUUUUGAUCAAGUAACAAUAGGACCCAGGUUAUGAUCCGGGAAGCAGGCCAAGUAUGUUUGGCUACGGUUGCGGCUGCCGUCGAGAUUGUAUUUAUGCACAACGAGAAUAUGUGAUGAGAUUUUUUUUUUUUUUUUUGGAAUGGUUUUAGAAGAAGAUUUUGCUCGUUGGUACAAGUGAUAGUAUAUUGUAUCAAUCGUACAAAUACAAUUAAGAUAUAAUUUUCAUACUCUUACUAAGAGCAAAGAAUUAUAAAGCUUCCAUCAGUAUCUGUAGUCUAACCGAAUAUUCGUUUUAAUAAAGGAAUCUUCGAGCACCACAAAUUGUCCUUAUGAUUUUUAAGCGAGGAUUGUGUUUUAUCAAUCAAUACAUGUGCAAUAUUAUAAGGACCUAUUUAGAUUAGAAUUAUUUUUAUAUAAAUUCAUGCGCUGUUAUAAUAAAUAAUAAAAUUUUUCUAUAAUAUAGUAAUAUAUAUUAUAUAUUAUAUAUAUAUAGUGAAACUCAUGUUUUAAUGCACAAGCUGAAGGAUUCAAUCCAAGUAUAUAGUGACCAAAUUUGAUGCCGUCACUCAGAUAGCCAGAUGUAGGCUGCACAAAAUCGUAUGCCGCGGUUUCUUAGAUCCAGUUCCAAUAAAGAGAAAGUUAUCAUACAGAAAAAAAUUAAAACACAGUAAUAUAAGCACCACGAAUCGUAUCGAAUUUCUCAGACGCCUACCUGCCGAGUCAACGUUCGCGAAACAGAUCCGAGUUGGAACGGAUUGUUGGGCAAUGCAUCUUGUUAUACGCUCUUUCCGAACGAGAGACAGUAAAAGAAGAACAGAAACAGUAGAUGCGCGAGAGCAGACUGCAGAGCGAGAGCGCAUUUCUCUGCGGAAACUGCCUCGCACUCGAUUGAUUAAACGACCGAAAAGAGGCCAAGAGCGAGCAAUUUCAUUCUACCCGUCGUGAUUUCAAAACCCUAGAUCUCUCUCUCACUUCUCUCUCUUCCUCUUCUUCGGAUGCGAAUCUGCCUUGGUCGUCGUUCGUCUCCUCUUCUCCUUCUCGCCCUAGGGUUUUGAUGCUCCGAUGUCCUCAAUGGACGGGCACAACCUUCGUCCUCCGCACCUGCUGAUAGCGAGGGCGCCACGCGAUUUUGCUGCAUUGCGCUCUCGUGGCCUCGAUCGCCCCGCGCGAGCUCGCGUGCCAAUUAAGUCGAGGAAGACCUGCGGCGCUGCACCUGCUCCUGCGCCCGCAUGCGGAGGGGAUCAAGCGUUGCCGCUGCCGCCGCGCCGGUCGACGGCUGGCGGCGCGGCGGACGUGUUCACCUGAACGGCGAGGAUACCGUCUGCGGACGCGGUUCCGAACGGCAGAACGGCCGCCUCGUGGGCGGCUCGGGGGUUGGCGCGAUGGGAGCUCGAUGGGAGCAGUAUGGUGGCCGGAUAGACCCAUCCUCAGCUUACUCGAUAUAGGAGCCUCUGUCGCCUUCUAUGGCCAAUUCGCCAUGAGGGAGGCGGCGAACGAGACGGCGUGAUGGAAGGCCUCUAUCGGUAAGUAUAUCGUGGCGAUGCUAUCUCUUUCUUUGUUUCUUUGCUGUGUAUGUAUCUUUGAAUUACUUGCUGCAAUGUGGGUGUCAAAGAGCAAUUAUUCAUUGUUUUGUUGUUUCCGUGGUAAUUUGAUCAGUAGCUACUUCUGACGUGUUAAUUUCUACGAAGUCUUGUUUGUAACCUUGCUUAUGUCUUGAAUUGUUGGUCACCGACAAUUUGAACCACAUCAGCUUUUAGUCUGGCAUGUAUGAUAAGUGUAUUGUCAAGAUUCAUCAAUAUAAUUUGGUUUGUUUACCUGACACUUAAAAUAGUAAGUAUAAUCAUAGUCGAAGCAUAGCAGUGAAUAUUAGCUGUUCAUUUUGUUUCACUUAUUAUGCUGUGCGACUAUUUUUCAUGUGAUUACUUACUGGCUGUGUUGUGUUACUAGUUUUUAAUUCAGGACAUAAGUUUUUGCUGGGAAUAAGUAUAUCCAUAUCUCUAGUAUUGUUAGGGACGUUUUCACCGUUUGAUUAGCAUGUUUGAUAUCAUAUUGCUAAAGUGAAGUGAAACUACUGCACUUUAUUUUAUUUCUCUAGGAUUUUACAGUUGACAGGACGUGUCACCCUAGUAAUGGAUGUAAGGCCAUAUUAUGCGCUUGACAGGCAUUGUUAGUGUAAAUGCAAAUCUUUAAAUUUAGGGAUUAGGGAUACGAGGAAUGAGAUUUUGGCUUAUAGCAGCUAUGUUAAGUGUCUGCAGCCUCAGGAGAUGUUUAAGGUUAUGGGCUCACCAAUUUGCAAGAAUUAGUUGUGGCUCUCAUUCUUUUUCUCCAAAUUUAUAUAAUUGCACUGCUCGAUUACUUGUUUUUUCUCUUUCAUUUCUAAGGUACUUCAUGUAUUGGUGUUUGGCGUAUGCUAACAGCUGAGUAGAAUAUCUUUUAGGGAAAUUAUGAUAUCAGGUUUACAUAUCACAUAAUAAUGUUGGGUGCAAGAGCUAAUUUUGAUAAUAAUUUUUAAAGUUAAUAAUUGUAAAGCGUCAGUAUGUCUUUGUAUGUUUUCAUGCAAUUGCAGCUAUACUAUAUGCAGAUAUGAAUUUUGGGGUAUUAUUUAUUUGUUUGCUUGCUGUUGCUGUGAAUUUCCACCGUACAUUCCGACUGAAUUGGCCUGCUUUUUUUAUUCUUCACCAUGGUUGCUGGGGAAAAUAUCUGACUCUUGGAAGCACGGUGGCUAAGGUAAGUUCUCCUUGCUGUUUUGGCUAUAUUGUAUUUUAUUAAGUGUUGAGGCUUUUAUAUCUUUCGGAUAAUGGUUUNNNNNNNNNNNNNNNNNNNNNNNNNAAAAAAAAAAAAAAAAAAAAAACAGCAAAAGCUGGGUGGGUCCAUUACAUGGCUACCACCCAGCACAAUCUUCACGUUUUUUUACCACAACAGGACAAAGCUAAACUACCAGCAGCCACGGCGAGGACGCGUGGGUGGGGAAAAGCCGCCGCCGGCAGGCAGCUCAACUUGGCCACUUGGGUUUGAUUUGGGUACAACACCCUGCUCACACCUUUGAAUUUUGGGGGGAUUAAUUAAUUAAUCUGUACCAUUUAUAUCCAAUGAAUGACGCGGAUUAAUGUCCUAACAACCAGCACGGAGUGACGGGGAAUUUGCUUCCCCUUCACUUGACAUUUAUGUGAUAUGCAUCUUCGGUAGUCUUUGUUUAGGCCUACUUUCGAAUUGAUGUUGUUUUUUAUAUUUUUUUUGUUUGUUUUUCUUCUUUUAUUAUACUAAUUUUAUAUGAAAAAUUAAAAACUUAGUAAUACUUUUUAAUUUACUCUCUUUUUAAAAGAUCCNACGGGAGGUGGUACAUGGUUCACCAUCACAGUUCAGUUAUGGCUUAAUGCUGCUGCCAUUUUCGUGAUUCAGCAAAAGCUUCUCUUUUUGAAAAAAGUUUCUCUUUUCUGGGCCGUAGAUUUGAAUUACUCCUUAUUCUCCUUUUUUUUCCAGUGUGAAAAGCCAUCUUUGUAUUCUCACUUGCUAGACUACUAAUAUACAUUCCCUCUCACUAUACUGUCCAUGGUAUAUUCUUUUGUCUGCUUGAUUUUAGCUUCUUAAAAUCCGAUUAUGUACCGUAUCUCCUGCAGAUUUUUUAUGGAUAUAUGUGGAUUUUUGAUAAAACAGGGCCAGGGGAGGGAAAAUUGUGGUAAACCCCAUGACAUGUUCAUGCUUUCACGUCGAUAUAGUUUCUUUCUUUUUAUCAUUUGGUUUAUUUAUCUUUAUUAAUCUUGGAGAAGAGUAAUUGCGCCCAUUGAAUGGAUGGGCUGGGGCCCAGGCAUGGCCUCGGCCCUGAGAGUUCAAAUCAAGCAGAAUCCGGGCCAGUUCUGUGCGAAGAAGGGAGUUGGGCUUGGGCCUGGUCCAACUUGUCCUGCUACAUAAUGGACGAGUUUUCUUUGAACGCCCAGCCUUACCUGGGCCUGAAAUUACAAUGCUGCCCAGGCCUGGGCCGUAUCUUCACAGCUAUGUCCGGAGCAAAAAUGAUGAACGUUCUGUUGUUCACCGGGCCUUGUCUCAAGCCAACCAGGGUUUAUAGGCUGGAAAUGAAAGAAAACAUCAGAAAGGUUCAUAAUUGAGCUCAUUUGGGGGAAAAAAAGAAAAAGAAAAAGAAAGAAAAAAGAAAAGAGUAUAAAUAAAAUUUGAGGGCUGAUUCUUUUCAGCCCUUCGAUCAGAACUUGCUGUUCCGUAAUCCUCAGUAGACGAAGGAAAAUACUAAUCCAAUCCAAGAGUGAAAAACAGGGAACAAAUUUAUAGUCCUGAAUUGUAAUUAAAGGAGUGCCUCCUUGAUCUCGUUUAUUCACAUUUAAUAGAAUAAUAAUAAUAAUAAUAAUAAUAAUAAUUGUCGCAGGCCUGCAGGGUCGGCUGCGAAUCACGCGGUGCCCUAUUGCCACAACUCCACAUCUUGUAUUUAAUCAAUUUCAACGUAGGAAGUAUACAGAAGAACUAAAACUACGGUUGGUGGGCUGCUUGUGAGAGAUUAUUUAGUACAGGACCACCGUCGCACACGAUGAAAUGAUGAAUGAUAUGUUCAUUUUCAUUGUUUGCAGUACAGGUUAAGUGUAAGGUCUAUCUCAAGGGGUCCGUGAAUGUUGCCGUCUAGUUCUUCAGGAUAGCAGGCAUUAAUGCCACAUCUAACAUAUAUAGAAGCCAUUAUUUGUUAGCAGUUCGAUUGGCCCACGACUGUAAACACCAAUGAUGGGCAGACGAGCUGAUACAUUAUCUCAAAUGUUACGGACAGGGAACUGUUUGAGCUUUCAUUGCUUUAAGGUUCUGUUCUUUUCCCACGAUCCCACUGACUGAAGGAUAAUUUUGUAGAAUGACUCUGAUGGAGAAUUUGGCAAGUCACUCUCCUUAGAGUGAGUGCAUGUCCUAUUCUCCCGAAAUUGAUUUGUCCCAUAUUUGGUAGAAAGAACCUGGCCUACAAAAGAAGCUCAUCAAAAGAUCAUGCACAUGUUCAAAUACAUACACCUGAAUCGCCUCCAAAGUAGACCGACUGAGUCGAUUUCGCCAAAUCAGAGCCCACACAGAAGUGUCAUGUCACGAUUAUCUCGGAUCCUAAAACGUGGAUUCAGAAGUCCUUUUCGUUGAGUAGAGCAGUUUCGAGAAGCUAUAGUUGAAUUUUUUUUUUUUUUUAAUAUCAAUUUAAUCAUCUCAAUGGCUUCAUUCAAUGAUUGAAUUAGAACCUUCAAAUGAAAAAUUCUAUUUUGUUUGUUAAAUACCUGAAUUUAGCUUCAGGCAUAGCAUAAAUUUAAUUCAUCACUCAGAAUCAGACCAAGCUUUUUGUUGCACAUGAAAUUGUAAGCACCGUCUUAGCGGAAUUUUGGACGUCAGAUUACAUCACCUCUAUAGAAGACAAGAUUCUUUACCUGUCCAAUUGAGAGAUGCGAGCGUUGCAAGUCCCUAACCUUUUUUGUUUGGCUAUUACUUUUCUAACUUUGUAAUUUAUUUCAAAUAGAUACCGGCCAUUUAAAUUUAUAUUAAGGGUGCGUUUGCUUCGCACUAUCUUUUUAAGAUUUUUAGUAAUGCAAUUGGAAUAAAAAAAUAUGACGGUGUUUGGCUAAAGACACUAAAUAAUCUAGUUGGUAAUAUUAGAUUCACUUGGGAAUGAGAUUCAUCCCAAAUUACUAAUCUCAUUCCCUUGCGGGAGAGUGGGUAUCCUCAUAUUAAUGAAUUGGGUAAUCACAAUAUGUCUAAUCUCUUUCUUUCUUCCUAUCCGCCGACUAGUUAGUAUUAUUAUCCUUUACACUCUAACCUCAUAUCUUUCUCUAAACUUAUCUUUUUUUCUCUAAACUUCAACUCUUUUUCUCUCUCUAAACUAAGCUCUCUCUCCCCCUCUUUUUCUAAAAUUUCAACUCCCUUACUCCCUCUAAUCUCGAUUCUAUUUCUCUUCCUAUUAUUUAAUUAUGCUCUCUCUCUCUAACCUAUAUUUUCUCUCCAUUUUUUCUAAAAAGAUGUUGAAAUUUUUUGUAGCAUUAUCUAAAAUUAAUUAAAUAAAUAAAUAAAUAAAUUAUAUAUUUUAUGUAAACUUAAAUAACAUGACUAAAUAAUAUGACCGUGCGAACCAAACACAUGAAUGCCACAUUCUUAGUAAUAGGAUGAAUAGGAAUAAGAUUCUCGGAUAUCUUUUUACUCCUAGUAAUCUUUCAUAGUGCGAACCAAACNNNNNNNNNNNNNNNNNNNNNNNNNNNNNNNNNNNNNNNNNNNNNNNNNNNNNNNNNNNNNNNNNNNNNNNNNNNNNNNNNNNNNNNNNNNNNNNNNNNNNNNNNNNNNNNNNNNNNNNNNNNNNNNNNNNNNNNNNNNNNNNNNNNNNNNNNNNNNNNNNNNNNNNNNNNNNNNNNNNNNNNNNNNNNNNNNNNNNNNNNNNNNNNNNNNNNNNNNNNNNNNNNNNNNNNNNNNNNNNNNNNNNNNNNNNNNNNNNNNNNNNNNNNNNNNAAACAAACUUUUUCAGACCCAGUAACUAAAAAAAUCAUAACACGAUCAACAAACAAAUUACAACAAAUAAAAUUAAUUUAUUUGGAUAACUUAUUAUCCCUAUUCUAAUUAUUUUAACAAAUAAAAUUAUAAUAUUUAAUACAAAAAUGAAAAAAAAAAUCCUAGAUUCUAGAUGAAUUAAUUUUUUAAAAUUUUUAAAAUUUUUUUUAAUAAAAUUCAUUAUCUUUUAGCUAAUAGGUUCACUAGAAUUUUUUUUUUUUUUUUUAAAGAGAGAUAACACGUUACCUGUUUUAUUCAUUAGGUAAGUAAACUUAGCUACAUAAGGUGAUGCAACUAAGGCCUCAUGUAGGCGACGGUUCAGUAGAAAAUUUUGACCGUAUAAUAUAUAGUUGAACGAAAGCAAACUUUAGCUUGGCAUAUCGAAUUAUUUCGAGAUGUGGGAGCCAAAAUCCUGUAGUAUCUUUCUUUCUCCUGUACGUGAAGACUUCGAAUUCCUUCUUGUAGUAAGUAGUUCAAUGAGCUGAACAAAGGCCAACCGAAAUAUUAAAGAGAAGGAGCAGUAAUGCUUUGGGCAACAUAAUUGGUCCCUUAAAAAUGAGGUUGUGAUAAAUCUUCAGACGCGGCAUUUGAGCUAAUUAAGAUAAAAGCUUCUAAAAACCCAAAUCCCUAAUAUGCAUACAAAACUAGCUUGUCCAAAUGCACUUUGGCCUGCCAAUAACAUUAAUUAUUCCCAGCAGUACAUGCCCAUGUCGUUAUGCAGAAUUUUGCUGUAGAAAUUAUAAAUCACAGAGUAAUGAAACAAAACUUAGACAUAACAAAAUGUACAUCACUCAUGUGGGUCUCCUUUCUCUGCUACUGCUUCACCGAUUAAGAAAGAAACGCUAUAAGAAAGAAUCCUACAACAGUUACCAGCAAGAUCACGAAAAUUAAAAGCUAUAAUUAAUUAUUUUUGAGAAAAAGGUAGCACGCUACUUGCUUCAUUCAUAGAGGAUAAAUUAGGCUUACAUAAUGGAGGCAGCCGGGGCCUCCGACGGGAGAAAGAGCGUCAAAAGCCAGAAUAACAAAGACAAGAAACGAAAACGACAAUAGACNUUUUUAAACCGUAUUUUUCAACGAACUUAGAAAUUAAGAUACGAAUUUUAUUCAUAUUUUAUCCGUAUCGAAUUUUUAUCGUAUUCAAAUUAACUAACUAUGGUUUAAAAACAUGAGGUUUAAUUUAGAAAAGGUAAUAAUACAAAGAUGGAAUAUUGGAGGAUAAGAAUGAAGGAAGGUGGGAUAUUCUAAAUUUAAAAAAAUAACAUGUUAUGAGGAUGAAAAUUUACUAAAAUACCCUCAUUGCAAACUCCUUGUAAUAAAAAAUUUUUUGCCCUUAUUAAAGUGGUGACCGGUACCUAUACCCCGAAGUAUCGGUCACCCUUUUUUAAUAGAUCUAUCGUUACCGUCCAUUUAAAGAAUUUUAACGGUUGAGAUUUGUUCGGUGCAUAGAAGCAUUGCUCUUAUAUUAAUUUUGAUAUAAUUGGUCACGUCAACUAUAAUAAAAUCUUUUCUUGCUCGUAUAGUUUAUGGUCAUAAUCCGGUAGCCCACAAUUAAUUUCAGUAUUAAAUUUUUUUAUAUAUUUUCCGAAAGAGUCUAUUAGCACUUCCGACUCAGAUGCUAGGGAUGUUAACGACUAAAAAAAAACAUGCAAUAAUAGACAUCUUACGCAAUAUCGAGAUAGUCGUAGACGUCUAAAAAUUAAGACAAUACAAUACAAUUAAUUCGGCUUGAUAUGAUGGGCGUGCAUAUAGAAAAAAGAAGUUAGAGGCCAAAGUUACAAAAAAAAAAAAAAAAAAAAAAAAAAAAAAAAAAAAGAAGAAAUUUUAAAAGGCUAGGAACGAUGAAUAGAAGUUUGAAAACCAAAAUCAAGGCAAAACAGAAAAGGGGAAAAAAAGGGGGUCAGAAUCCAAUAGUGCAAUUAACGCAAUUACUGAAAAAAGGUUGUUGCAUGUAACUCGUGCUGCGGACGCAUGCCACUCACUAACUUCCACUAAAAACGAGUAUCAUUUGUCGAAUCAACGUACGAUUGCAUCAGAUAUUUCCUUGUUGGACAAUUUUGUAUCUUUUAGACUACAUCACUUCUCCCAAACGUGUUUCUCGUUUCUCGUUUCUCGUUUCUCGUUGGGUGGGGAGCCUUUUUUUAUUUUUAUUUUUUAUUUUGGUUGAUUAAACAGGGAUAUACUAUACCCUGUCUCAAUUGGGUGGGGGAACUCUAGCAACAGCAGCAGGGAAGGAGCGUUGCAGCGUCGCCAUCUACCGUCCUCGUCGACUGCAGUGCUGCCAACUAUACUGAGGCUUGCAGCUUGCUAUAAAAAGCAAGUGUUGGCAAAAGCGUCCGUACAGACGCGCUCUCUUUUUUUUUUUUUUUUUUUUUUUUUUUUUUUUUUUUAGAGAUCUUUUUUUAAAAAAAUAUCCAUUCAAAAACUAUUCACUUAAUUCAAUUAGAAAAAGAUAAACUGUAGCUAUAUGGAUGUUUUGAGAGGGGCGGAAACAAAAAAAAAAAAAAAAAAAAAAAAAAAAAAACAGCAAAAGCUGGGUGUGAGGUCCAUUCACAAUGGCUACCACCAAGCACAUCUUCACGGUUUGAUUACCACACAGACAAAAGCGUAAACUCCAGCAGCCACGGCGAGGGACGCGUGGCAGGUGGGGAAGCGCCGCGGCAGGCAGGCUCAACUUGGCCACUUGGUAUGUGAUUUGGUAUAACACCUGCUUCAUCACCUUUGAAUUUUGGCGAUUAAUGUACAGUCAUCGUUGUAGAUUUAUAGUCCAAUGAUGACGCGGAUUUAAUGUCUAACAACCGCCGGAAGUGACGGGGAAUUGCUUCCCGUUCAGCUUGGCCUUUAUGUUGAUAUGCUCUUCGGUAGUCUUCUGUUAGGCAUCUUCGAAAUUGUGGUUGUUUUUUUAUAGUUUGUUGAUUUCUAGUCUUCUUUUAGUAUACUAAUUUUAUAUGAAAAAUUAAAGACUUAGGUCAAUACUUUUAAUUUAGUCUCUUUUUGAAAUAGAUUCAAAGAUGGUCUUGUUGUAUUUUGCACUUUGGUUAUUAAUCGGAAGCUAAUCAAUUAGUUCGUUGCACUAGUUCUGGUAUAUAAGUCUCUAUUUAAUCAUUAUAGAAUGUAAAAAAUGUAAAGGCCAACAAUAGUGAUAUUGAAGAGAGUAGCUACGAAUCUCGGCCUCUCAACGUUGAAUGGCGUGGCUUUGAAUUAUAGCAGAGUUUUGCUCGAUAUAGGACGCGCAAUUAUUUAUCUGUUGUUUAAGUAAAUUAAAAAUACUAAGAAUUUUCUUUUCUAAAGAGAAUAUUAAGACACAAGUUCUGGAAUUUAGAAUAUCGUGUCUCCUCUCGAAAAGAAAGCGAAAAAGAAUUGUAGAAGAGACACUACAUGAAAUUAUUAAUUUGACAUUAUCCCAUUGUUUAUUGCCAGUUUUAGUCGUGUAUUCGUUGUGGAUAUCAUUAUCAUGGACUAAGAAAUCAAAAGAGAAUAAGAAUAAAAAGCCACUUAGCAACAUAACGAGGUGUUAAUGGUAAAUAUUAUAAACGACGAAGUUGAUUGGCAGAAUCACAGAAUAAUUUCGCUACUCGUUUUUAUAAACGAAUGGCUUAGGGGAAAUAGUUUUGAUGAUGUGCCGGACUCUCAAGACAAAAAUGUUUUCAGGAUUUGUUGACAUGAUGUAACGAAUUACACAUUACGACAAGUUAGCCGAGUAAAAUAUGCACAGGUGAUGUUGCCGAUGUUCAAUGCUAUUGCUUGUAGGAUGAAUGUGUUGUUAUUAUUAUUUUAUUAUUAUCCAAGGCAAAUAGCAUAAUAUUACAGUGCCCAAUGCAGAAAUAGAGAAUUUAAAUGCUCACUAAUAGUACAACUGCUUGAGUGAUUCUAAUCUAAAAGAAUCUAAAACGGAACAUGCGAUCAGAUACUUAUGCUUCUUCUAAGGCUAGAAGCUGCGAAACAGUUCUACUGAAAAUUAUUAUUAAUGCUUAUUCUAAUAGUCUCUCGGAAAAGACCUAACUAAGGUAAAAGCUUAGCUAGCCUGAUUUUUGGAACUCGAGCGAGAGGUAAAAAUUGAGCUUUAAUAAAUAAAAAAAAAAAGAAGGUUUUGGAAAAGUAGAGGGCAUUAAUGUUUGGGCUUUGAAAGUGAAACCUUCACUUAACUAUGCUAUGGGCUGAUGGGAUGCAGAGAGAGAGAGAGAGAGAGAGAGAGAGAGAGAGAGAGAGAGAGAUCAGAAGCUUCCAAAUAAGAAAAAAAAACAAAAGAAGUUUUCGAUGCAUAAUUUUGCUCAUCGGUCGUAUUUAGCACAUUUAACUAAGAAUUUACUUAUUGAUACUCGAAAUCUCAAAUUUAAAAUUAGUUAUUUUACAUUUCUAGCUGAACUUUACUAUCUUUCUUUCUAUCUCACAAAAAUAAAAAAUAAAUUAAUAGUUUAAUUUUGCUCAUUGCUAGCUAAAUUUAUUUUCGAAAAAUAAAUAAAUUGAAUAACUUGCCGUCUUUCUGUCAUACAACAACAACAACAACAACAACAACAACAACAAAAAAAGAAGAAAAAAAAAAAGGUUUUGCUCAAUGCUGCGUAUGGCUCCGGCCGAACAAUAUUGACCCUUAUUAGGAUUAAGACACUGUGAGAGUUCGAUUAUGGAUUCACUGGUUGUAGCGUUGUCCUCUUAUACUGUGUUCUCAUCGGUAUCUGUAAUUAAUUGUUGACAAUAACGAUAUUCUCUUUACAUCACUAUUCAAACAGGUGGUUACAGUAGCAAACAAAAUCAUUUUUGACACCGGAGGCAAAAUUGCUUGGCAAGGGCUUCACAAAUUAUUCGUUUGAGAACGUAGAAUCGAUUUAUUACAUAAGCGUCGGGCUCCCAAAUCUCCGGGCAACUUUAGUGUAAGAUAUAGCUUUAAGUUUUCCUUUCCUCAACUAUUAGUGGGUUCAAAACUUUUUCAGAUCCGAGAUCCAAGUUCGAAUCCUAAUUGAUUUACAUUUUUAACUAAGUUUAUUUCUAAAUGAAAUAAACAAAGCGGAUAGUAUACUUCCUAUCUUUCAAAAAAAAAAAAAAAAAAAAAAAAAAANCAUAAUUGGUCCCUUAAAAAUGAGGUUGUGAUAAAUCUUCAGACGCGGCAUUUGAGCUAAUUAAGAUAAAAGCUUCUAAAAACCCAAAUCCCUAAUAUGCAUACAAAACUAGCACUUUGGCCUGCCAAUAACAUUAAUUAUUCCCAGCAGUACAUGCCCAUGUCGUUAUGCAGAAUUUUGCUGCAGAAAUUAUAAAUCACAAAGUAAUGAAACAAAACUUAGACAUAACAAAAUGUACAUCACUCAUGUGGGUCUCCUUUCUCUGCUACUGCUUCACUGAUUAAGAAAGAAACGCUAUAAGAAAGAAUCCUACAACAGUUACCAGCAAGAUCACAAAAAUUAAAAGCUAUAAUUAAUUAUUAGUUCCCUGCAAUUCAUAUAUAUAUGCAAGCAUUCAAGAUUAGCACCAGCACCUCGGCGGUCGAUUUAGCAAUACAUUCAAUUUGAGAAAACCAUAAAAUUUCUUCCACACAAUAUUUACCAUGGACAUAAUAUAAAAGUUUUUUUUUUUUUGAGAAAAAUGCAGCACGCUACCUGUUUCAUUCAUUCAGACAAUAAAUUUAGCUAUAUAGAGUGAGAUAGCAGGAAUCUCGAGAGAAGAAAAAAAAAUAAAAAUAAAAAAAAAAUUAAAAGGACAAAAUAAAAGAAGAGUAAUAAAAAUAUAAAAAAAAUAAUUACAGCGUCAAAUCAAAUACACGAAAAUAUCACCCAGCAUGAUCCGUUGCCAGUUUCCCAAUGCGUUGUAGUGUCAAAUCAACAUAAUAUAAAAGUUGAUCAUAAAAUUAAGAACUCUGCUGCUAAAAAUAAAAAAUAAAAAAAAUAAAAUCAUGAAAAUUGAUUUGUCAUUCACCUCUACCAUAUUGAAUAUAUAUAUAUAUAUAUCAGAAAAGGCAAUGUUAUUACACCGAGAUAAAGCUCCCGCUAGACAAGCUUGUCUUGUUGGGGAUCAGGGACUCAGGAGUUAAAAGAAAGAAAAGGAGAGCAGUUUACAUAUACGAACUAAUUAAAGAGGAAGGCAAAAUUAAAGAAAAGGAGAUGAACUAAUUAACGCUAAAGUAAAAUUGCCCUCUUACACUGCAUUAUUAUUUACAUAAAGAAGACUAUGCAGUUUUCGUCAGGAAUACUACUAGUGGAAUUUACUAAGCGCUAUAAACCUCAACAAAAGAUCAAAAGAUCAAAAAAAAAAAAAAAAAAAAAAAAAUCUGAAUCUGCUCCGAGCCUUAAAUUUGCUCGAUCCUCUUUAAGUGAACAGCACAAUUCGGUGCAUGGCUGAGCAUAUAUAUAUAUAGAGAGAGAGAGAGAGAGAGAGAGAGAUCAUCACUGCGACUGGGACUGCGACGUGGUCAUCUCACAUGAAAUGGCGGCGACAAUCUUAUCUCGCGUCGCUUGCUCGGAAUCGGGCGGCGACUUCACGACGAAAGUAUGCAGCACGGAGCCAUUGGUGGCCAAUACAUUAGAAUCGACGACACUGACGUUAGACUCGUUGAAAGCCUGGAUGACUCUGGACAGGGGAUGGCCAUCCAAAGGACUGGUGACCCGAACAAUCACCUCAUCGUGCAGCGCUUGGAUCUCGACCGAGGGCGGCUCGAGCUCGGGGGGUCUGGGUCCGAGGCCGGGGUUGUUCCAGCGGGCUCGGUCGGACUCGAACUCUUUGAGCCGGCUCUGGAGCUCUUGGAUGUAGGCAAUGGCGUCGCCCAGCAGGGAGGCCUUGUCCAUCUUGGAGAUGUUGGGCACCACGGCCCGGAGGGCGUAGAACCGCUGGUUCAGCUUCUCCCUCCGCUGCCGCUCCGCUUCCACGUGGUUGAGCGGCUCCUCCCGCCCAUUGGCCGGCUUCCGCCCUCUCUUCCUCGGCCUACGCUCCUCCGCCGCCGCCGCCGCCGCCGCCGUAAUCCUCCGAUCAUCCUUGCUCGACGAUUCCACGUCCGGAAGGUCCGAGUCUAAUGCUAAUGCGCCGCCCGAUUGGGCUGCAGCGGGGGACGCCGCCGCCGCCGCCGAAGUCGCCCCACCACCAUUGCCGAAAUCCACUGUCCCAAGCGGCGGCGGCGGCGGCGGCAGCUGUUGCGGACGCGGACGCGGACGCGGACGCGGCUUUUGAAGCAGGGAUUGGCUGAUGCGAGGGUGCUCCUCCGUGAACAGGUCGGCGGGGCGAGGGAUCGGUCGCUGCAGCGACGGCGACGGCGACGGCGACGGCGACGGCGUUGAGCCCAAUCGGUCGGCGCCGAACCCUCCUAGCACGCUGUUGAGGAACUUGUUAUCAUCCAUCCGGUUCCAAUUCAGCCCGUUAACACCGGCAUGCACCGGCCUCUCUUCAGGCCCGGAGGCGGAGAUCUGGGGCGGGCGACCGAUGCUGGUGAAGUCCAUUCCGAAGAUUCUGGGAAUGGACUCCUUCAAGCGAUUUUCGCCGCGGGAGAACACGGACCGGAUCAUCUUCAUGGCUUCGAAGCCCUCGGGCACACGAUCGAGCGAGCCCAAUUCGACGACCCCGCCGCCGUCGAGGGGCACGAACGCGACGGUGCGGAACCCCGCGGACCUCGCGAGGAACGCCCUGACGCAGAACUCCGAGGAGGAGGAGGACGACGACGUGGCCACGUCCGAGACCCAGAAGGGCUUCCCCGACGCGAGCGCCCUCCCGGGUCCCCCCUCCCCGAGGGGGAAGGAGAAGUACAUGGAGAUCAGGAAGUAGGCCUCGGCGUCGGUCACGCGGUCGAGGCGGAUCGCCGCGUUCUCGUCGCCGCACCCGUACACCGCGUCCAGCUUCUGGAGCACGCGCUUGAUCAUCCGCUGCCGCCGCUCCUCCUCUCUUUCCGCCUCGCCGGCGCGGGCGACGAUGCUGCGGCCGCGGCGGCGCGGCUCGGCGUCGCGGCAGUGGCCGUCGCCCCAGACGAGGAGGGCCUCGCCGGUCCUGGCCCGCGUGGCCUGCCAGAAGAUGGCGUAGGUCCAGGGGCGGCCCGAUGGGCCCUCCACCACCUCCUGCAGCUUCGUCUGGAGCUCCGCGUCCACGUCCCCCGCCACCACGCCCUCCGGGGACACGCGGCACCCCGACAGGUACUCGAACGCGCGGGGCCCCAACACCGCCGCCGCCAUGGCCCGCUCCUCCUCGGACCAUAGCCUCCCCAUCACCAUUAAAGCAACCCUCUUCCUCCUCCCUCCUCCCUCCUCCCUCCUCAAUAGUCAAUAGUUAAUUCCUCCCCCUCCACCACUCACAAUCAAACCCUAAUCCGACCUUCUAACUACGACUGUAUCCGGCGGGGGGUAAUUAUUAAGGAAUAGCUUAAAAGAGGAGACGAAAUGGAAUCGGAGGGGGGCUAGAGUCAUUCGUUUGAGGAUCUCUUUUUCCGCAAGGUGUUACUUGUUAGGGGGCGGGCUAGGGUUUAAUCUCGCCUCCUCCUCCUCCUCCUCCUCUUCCUCCUCUUCCUCCUACUCGCGUUUCGCGUAAAAUUCGUGGAAACGAGGCGAGGCGGAGGAGUGCGUUAGGCGGAACCAAGUCGGCGAGGGCUUGGAUUUAAAUACGCGUGUCAGCACCUCGCUCCUCCUCGAACCACUACAAUACACCGCACCGACCGCCAGUUAUCCUUAGACCCGGUCUACAGACCCCGAGGAGCAUCGAGCGGAAUCAGUAGCUUUUGGAGGCGGUUCGAAAAUGACGUGGUCCACCGGGUACAAACAACACUGUGGCGCUGCGAGCGACUGGCGAGCCGCGUGCUCGCCCACUAGCGUUUACACCGAGCCGAUCCGCGCUGUGGAGUGUGGACCGAAUAUGGUUUUACAUGGGCUUAUUUGGGUCCUACUUCGCAGAUGGGCCCCAGUCCUGUGCGACGGUUACAUAUCACGUUUGUUGGGGUCCCACAGGUCAUUUUCACAAUUUUGAUUCGAGCGCGUUACCCCGUAGAUUUUUGGGCCGCUGCACAUGUUCGUGAGCCGUUGGUGCGCGUUACAUUGUAGAUUCAUGCGGCAUCGUACGCCAGUUGGUGAGCUUGUCUUUAAAAAAAAAAAAAAAAACACAUUGUGCGCAUGCAUAAUAUAAAAUAUAGUUGUGUUGAAAAUUUGGUACUUCUUCUUAAACAUAUUGAGAUUCUGUAACAGAAACAUUGAAUCAAAUUUUUACUAUAAAUCUGUCUCCUCAAAUAUGAUAUAAUUAUAAAAAAAAAUAAAAUAAUAUACGAAUAAAAUAAGAUUUACUAAAUAAAAAAAAAUUAUAUCUGAAUCCUCUUCUGUAACAGAGCAAUGUCAAUCUUUUUAAAUCUAUCGUAUCUGUUUCUCGUCUUUUAUAAACCAAAAAAACUACUCUUUUUUUUUUUUUUUUUUUUUUUUUUUUUUUUCUCCUCCCUUNGCCCGGGGCCCCAACACCGCCGCCGCCAUGGCCCGCUCCUCCUCGGACCAUAGCCUCCCCAUCACCAUUAAAGCAACCCUCUUCCUCCUCCCUCCUCCCUCCUCCCUCGUCAAUAGUCAAUAGUUAAUUCCUCCCCCUCCUCCACCGCUCACAAUCAAACCCUAAUCCGACCUUCUAACUACGACUGUAUCCGGCGGGGGGUAAUUAUUAAGGAAUAGCUUAAAAGAGGAGACGAAAUGGAAUCGGAGGGGGGCUAGAGUCAUUCGUUUGAGGAUCUCUUUUCCCGCAAGGUGUUACUUGUUAGGGGGCGGGCUAGGGUUUAAUCUCGCCUCCUCCUCCUCCUCCUCUUCCUCCUCUUCCUCCUACUCGCGUUUCGCGUAAAAUUCGUGGAAACGAGGCGAGGCGGAGGAGCGCGUUAGGGCGGAACCAAGUCGGCGAGGGCUUGGAUUUAAAUACGCGUGUCAGCACCUCGCUCCUCCUCGAACCACUACAAUACACCGCACCGACCGCCAGUUAUCCUUAGACCCGGUCUACAGACCCCGAGGAGCAUCGAGCGGAAUCAGUAGCUUUUGGAGGCGGUUCGAAAAUGACGUGGUCCACCGGGUACAAACAACAGUGGGGCGCUGCGAGCGACUGGCGAGCCGCGUGCUCGCCCACGAGCGUUUACACCGAGCCGAUCCGCGGUGUGGACCGAAUAUGGUUUUACAUGGGCUUAUUUGGGUCCUACUUCGCAGAUGGGCCCCAGUCCUGUGCGACGGUUAUAUAUCACGUUUGUUGGCGUCCCACAGGUCAUUUUCACAAUUUUGAUUCGAGCGCGUUACGCCGUAGAUUUUUGGGCCGCUGCACAUGUUCGUGAGCCGUUGGUGCGCGUUACAUUGUAGAUUCAUGCGGCAUCGUACGCGAGUUGGUGAGCUUGUCUUUAAAAAAUAAAAAAAAAUAAAAAAAACACAUUGUGCGCAUGCAUAAUAUAAAAUAUAGUUGUGUUGAAAAUUUGGUACUUCUUCUUAAACAUAUUGAGAUUAUGUAACACAAACAUCGAAUCGAAUUUUUACUAUAAAUCUAUCUUCUCAAAUGUGAUACAAUUAUAAAAAAAUAAUAAUAAUAUAUGAAUAAAAUAAGAUUCACUAAAUAAAAAAAAAUUAUAUCUGAAUCUUUUUCUGCAACAGAGCAAUUUCAAUCUUUUUAAAUCUCUCAUAUCUAUUUCUCGUCUUUUAUAAACCUAAAAAACUACUCUCUUUUUCUUUCUUUUUUUUUCUCUCUCUCACAUGCGCCCAUACAUUAGGUGCAUGCAACCAUGGACACGCCCAUUUAGUACGAUCCGCUGAUGACUUCAAGAUACCUCAUCCUACACUCUUGUUGGAGAACCUCAACCGGGGGAUAGCAACUUCAAGCUUUAACCAUUUAUAAAUAAUUUAUAUAUAAUGCUAGCUCCACUAAAACAUACCUCCAAAUCUAGUAUAACUAUAAUUCUUACUCUAAUUAAUAUUUAAAUUUAUAUUAAUUUAUUUCUGAUAAAUUUAAAUAUUUAUUCUAUUUUAUUUAGAAAUAGACUACAAAUUUUAUCAAAUUGUAAUAAAUUGUCAUUUUCAAUCCGUUUGAGAAUUUUACUCGAUAUAUAUAUAUAUAUAUUAUACGAUUGCAAAUCAAUUGACUGGGAGCUGAUCUAUUUUUUACUAACUUUUUAUGUCGUAAGCUGAUAACUAAACUAAUCGAGACAAUAGUAAUUAAAUGGUUAGUUUACAAACAAAAAUAAAAUUUGACUCGUAUUAAUCUAUGCACUUUUAAAAGCCUCCAGAUUCACUUUAUUAAUUUUUUAAGGGAAAACUUCAAAAACCCUCUCUGUGGUUUCACAUUUUUUCAUUUUAGUACCCUGUGGUUUAAAGUUUAUCAAGUUAGUACCCUGUGGUUUCUCACUUUAUCACUUUAGUACCCUGUGGUUUCACACUUUAUCACUUUAGUACCCUGUGAUUUAAAAAACCACAGGGUACUAACUUGAUACAAAUUAAAACCACAGGGUACUAAAGUGAUAAAGUGAGAAACCACAGGGUACUAACUUGAUACACUUUAAACCACAGGGUACUAAAGUGAUGAAGUAAGAAACCACAGGGUACUAACUUGAUACAUUUUAAACCACAGGGUACUAAAGUGAGAAAAAUUGAAACCAUAAGGGGGGUUUUUGAAGUUUUCCCAUUUUUUAAUUUAGCAGUGCUGUUCCUCCACAUAUAUUUGGAUGAUGGUCUCAAGUGGAGGGCGUGUGUUAUCUUUCCAAUUCAUCUUCUAGAAAUUAUAGAAAAAUCUCUCUUCCUCAAAGCAAAUCUCACAAAAAGCCCACUACUUUGACAGUUUGCGCUGACAAAUAGUCUAGAUGAGCCACUUUUUCUCUGAUCCCUAUAAAAACCAACCAAACCAAGAAAAUAAAUAAAUAAAUAUUCAACAAAUUAUGGUUUGACUUUAAUUUGGUAGCAAAAGUUAGAAGCCCCCAUUUCUUUUCGGUUGAAGUUUUCAUAAUUACAGCUGGGAUGAAACCUCAAUUUUUAGAUGUUGAUUUACGUACGCUAGGGUUCUAAUUGCACGAAUGACACAUACCAAAUUGUGCAGUAAUGCUUUUAUCGAUUAGGAACUUUGACGAAUCAAUGCACUUUCCGAAUACUCAUAAUUUAUUACAGUAGGUAUGGACUAAAAGAAACCCACACAAGGAAGAGAUUUUUAUUAAUCGGUGAGUUAAUUAUUAUUAUUAUGAAAAAGAUAGCAAGCUAUAUAUAUAACCGUUUCGCUUAUUUUUUAAAAAAGAUCUCAGCUAAUUAAAUUGCGAAAUAAUUAGUUUUGAACUUGAAGUCUCAAGUACCAACAACUAAAUUCGUAGUCAACAGUGCGGUCCCAAGCAUGAUCAAUAAUUAAAUAUUAUUUUUAGUUCGCAUCAAAACUUCACCUAUAGUUAUGAUUAGUUCUAUCCUAAGUUUGUUUCUCUUUUUGCAUAAUUUAAGUCCCUAUUUACUCCCAAUCCUUAUAUGAAAAGGCCCAAAAUAUUCUUUUAUCACCCGUAAGGACGCAAAUGGACGUGGGUUGGUAGCGCUUUUGCCCUAAUUUGCUCGGGAUGGGAUGGUAAUUAAGUGAGGGUCAAAAAUAAAAAUAUAAUAAUAUGUUCCGAUUUCGUCUCAAUCCUGCUAAGAAAAUGGAGCGGAAGAGGCGGGAACCUUUGCUUGCUUUAAUCAACCUUAAUUUGUCAAAGAUUUAUAUAUUCCGGUCUCCCCCAAUUUUGAAAUUAAGAAGCGAUAAAUAAAAAUAAAACACAGGAUAUAUAAAAAGAUAUAUAUCCCGAAUAUGCUCGGAGCAACCAAGAAAUAGGGCAGAAGGUGGUCCGUUUGCAGUCCCAUUCGCUCUCUUGAGUUUCUCUAAUUAAGAAACGAAAAUUAAUAUAUUUGAACGAGAGAGAGCAGAUGGGGCCGAGUGGCCCAGAUUGGAAUUGUGGUCAUUGAUAACACCGUCCUUAAAGGGCGCAUAGAGUUCAUUAAUUACUGCAACUGGACAUGAACAGGUCCCAGUAUUUCUCCUCCUAGGUUUUCUGGUGGUUUCUGCUGCGGCUCACGAAUUUGAUUGGCGCAGAAAUAAUUAGCCAGGAAUUCUUUCUUUCUUUCUUUCUUGCUUGCUUGCUUGCUUGCUCGUUCGCUGCCGAUCGAUAUAUUCUGUUCGAUCAGUCGAGGGAUUGUCUUUCGCGUUGGGAAUUGGGCACUCGCACUCUCGCAGUGGUGACUAGUGAAAGCGAGAGCUCCUACGUACAUUGUUGUAUCUUUCAGCGCACGUGAACGGUUCCCUCUGUUCCCCGAGCUUGCACCCACACCCCCACACCAUUAAUUAUAAUCAAUUGUACCUAAGUGUCCUUAAAUUCGUAUGCGGAGCAAUGAAAUAAAUAUAAUAAUAAUAUACACAAUGUUGUUUAGAUAAUUACUCUGAAAUUUUUAUUUUUUAUUUUUACAUUUAGUGCAGGCACAUUCUAUUUAUAGGACCCCUUAAAGAUCGAUCAUUCUAUUUGUUCGCGUGGGUGCAAAGGGAGGCACCUUGUACAUUUAUUAAAAAUUAGGUACAAAUUAUUUUAAUACUCUUUCGUCUAAGAGUUAGUAUUUUCUUCCUAAAUUAAUAAAAUAUUAUAAAAUUUAUUUUUUUUAGAUAGAAAAAAUAUGCAUUGAUUUUGUACUACGUAUAUAUUUUUUUUUAUAUAUAUGUGGAUGUAUCGGAGACGUUACUGCAGCGCGCUCGCAUCUCCGUCCGUUAACACCAAGGUUGUUGUGCCUUUAUAUAGUUCAAAAAGUUUAUUGUGUCCCACUUACACCACAUCAUUAAUAAAUUGUCAAUUAUAUUUUUAUUUUUGAAAAAAAAUAUAAUAAGAUAUUUUUAUAAUGAUUAUGAUGAAAUCUGUAAAUUUAAAAUAUAUAUAAUCUAAUUAGUUGUGAAUGCUACAUCACACUCUAGAUUAAUUUUUUCUACCUAGGCACAGGCCAAAUGGUGGGUCCCACUCGAGAAAUCUUGGGAAUGUCACUAUCCUAUUGUCUAGUAAUUAAUCAUUUGGUUCCGAUUGUAAAACACACGGUACUCAGCUACUUAAUCUUCUCUCCACGUCAAGCGCCCCGUCCAAUGAAAAAAAUUUACUGUAUUAUACUUACACUAUGUUACCGAAAAUAAAUCAAUCAUAUUUUUCUUCUUGAAAAAAAAAUAUAAUAAAAAUAUUAUUUUAUUAAUUAUAAUAGUACGGGUGAAUCUAAGGAUAUAAUUUUAUUGGUUAGAGAUGUCACGUCAAUAAUAUAAUCGGUGCACUUUUUUAGGACCGUUUGGUUGCAUGUGAUUACAGCUGCAAUGCAAUUGUAAUCGCAUAGAAAUACAAAUUUAGUAUUUGUUUUAUAUAUUUAACUCCAACUAUUGUAAUAAAAACUGUAAGAAGAGGCCUCAUUGCAACAGUUAAAACUACGCUCAAAUUAGCCGCAAUUCCAACUGCAAUAGUUAGAGAAAACAACUUUAAACUUAUCUUCUUAAUUAUUUUUUAAAUAAUUUUUUUUUUAUAUUGGUAGUAAUCUUACCAUCAUAUAUAUAAAAUAAUAAGUUUUUAAAAUUUCUCAACUGCAUGCAACCAGAUAAAUUAUUUAUAGUUACUACAUCUAACUAAAAAGGAUAUAUAUAGUUAUAACUGUUAAAUUUUUAACUGCAUUUAUUUUCAACUAUACUGUAUUUAUUAUUAUAUCUAAACAAAUGAUCAUAGAUUUUUGGUUUUCCAUCAAGGGUGACGAAAAUGGCCUGUUUAAUUACCUUUCCCUUUUUUCAGUUCUAUUUUUUUAACUUGUGCGCUAUUUUCUUUUUUGUUUUUUUUAUUUGUUUAUUUUUUUUGUGCGGUAUAAUAAUUCUAGGAAUCACGAGAGUGGUCGCGGAUGUUGGCUCACGCUCCUACCUAUUCUUUCACGUGAAAUCGCUGGCGCGUAAGUAGCUCAAUUUUCAUCGCCAUUUUCUACUCCUCCAGGCUCCAGCCGAGCCGAGCCGAGCCGAGCCGAGCCGAUCGAAGAAUCAAAAAUCGUCUACAUAUGUUUCACAAUUUUUUUAUUUUUAUUUUCAUUUUUGUUGGCAUUCGGAAAAGAGUGCCGAACAUCUUGCGAAGCUUUUAUAGCUUGGACCAUGUGUGUGGAUGGGGUUUACGUAAACGACCUUGUUGAUGAUCUCUAUUGGUUGGAGAAACUAUCUACAUGGUUCAGAGUUUUUUAAGAAGGGAAAACUUCAAAAAAAACACUUCAUGUGGUUUCGUGCUUUUUUAUUUUAGUACAUUAUGAUUUAAAGUGUAUCAAAUUAGAACCCUGUGAUUUCGUACUUUCUCAUUUUAGUAUCCUGUGGUUUAAAGUGUAUCAAGUUAAUACUUUGUGAUUUUAUUUUUGUAUCAAGUUAGUAUCUUGUGGUUUUAUUUUUGUAUCAAGUUAGUACCAUGUGGUUUAAAUACCAUGUGAUUUUUAAACCACAGAGUACUAAAGUGAGAAAGCGUGAAACCACAGGAUACUAACUUGAUACACUUUAAACUACAGGGUACUAAAGUGAAAAAAUACAAAACCACAGGGUACUAACUUAAUAUACUUUAAACUAUAGGGUACUAAAGUGAAAAAAUACAAAACUAUAGGGUACUAAUUUGAUACACUUUAAAUCACAGAAUAUUAAAGUAAAAAAAGUGAAACCACGAGAAAAAUAUUUGAAGUUUUUUUUUUCAAGAAUAGAAGAAAAAAAAAAAGUAUUAAAAGGAAAAGCGUGGCUCGACGCUAUGAAUGGAAGGUUCGGCGGACUCAGGGAAAGCACGUGAGGCAACACGUGAGGACAGCGUGGGCAGAUUAAGUCAACGUGAUCCGCAUUGACCUUUAUUGGUAACAAACUUCCUAAUUUAUUACGACCCGAAGAAGCACCACGGAACUGUUUAAUGAGCUGAUUAAUUGGGGCGGGUUAUACGUGGCGUUCCCCAAGGGGCGAUUUUUUUGAGCUCUAAAUUGGAUCUUCAAAAAAAAAAAACAAAAACAAAAAAAAAAACUCUCUAGUUCCUUGCUGGAUUGUAAAUUCUAUUUUUUAAAAAAAUUUUAAAUGCUUAAUUUCUCGUAUAGGAUUUAUUCCGCGUUGUUGGAGUGCUUAAAUAAAUGCCAUCUUAAAAAAGACAGAUAUUUGAAAAUACAAUGGCGAUUAUCAAUUGAAUCUUGGCAAUAAUGAAAAAUCCUGAGAUUUAAAAGUCAAAGAUUUAAUAGUUGUCUCAAAUAGAGAAAUUACUUAAAAAAACCAAGCUAGUGAACAAAGACAAAUUCUACAACUUGACGAUGUCCUAGAAACACUCCCCAAUGGCUCCACACUUGCUAACAGCGAAAUUCGUCACUCGGUUGUCAGAUUAUUUGAAUAAUAUUAUAAUUUUUUCACGAAAUUACUCUUCAUAUAUUGCUAAAUACGUUGGCAAAUAAAUGCCGCAUGUUGCGUGUACGAGCUAAUUAGAAGUUAUUUUAUUUAUUAUACAUUAUUACAAGGCUAACAUAUACAGAGAUAAUAUUGUAAAAAAUUAAAAUAUUCUUCUAUUUCUCUUUUAGGUGUUCUGAAGGAGAGAGGGGAUGAUGAUUCAAAAAACGACAAAAUCGGUCGUACGGACAGGCGAAGCAUGUGAAAGGCGUGAGUGUGUAAGAGUUCCUUACCACCACGACACUGCCGUGAAUCCUAUCAAUGAACUUUAUAUGGAAGCGUCCUUUGACACAUAAAUGGUAAAUUAUACCAGUACAUCUAUUUUAAUUAGAUGUAUAAAUUAUACACCUUAGACUCUAAACAAGAUCCAGAUUUACUCACUUAUUUAUUUUUUUAAUACUAAAAAAAUUAAAAAUUUUGGAUCAUGGAGUAUAAGAUGUAUACCUUAUAAUAAAUUAUGCAUAAAGCAUUUUUCUAAAAAUAUAAUAAGAGGAAAAAAAAAGAAGAACAUGAUGGGUUCAUUUAUUAAGGGCUAAAGUGCAGUGCUUCCAUGAGUUAAAAGUAUUGUGUCACUCCACGAGGGAGUGCAUAUAUGCCUCCCUUGUGGAACUAUUGCCUUGUCAGGUCUCCUUUGGGGGGGGGGGGNUCUUAUUUCUCAAUAUGUCAAAAGUUACAAAUUUACCAUUAUUCUUAUUCUCAUAUUUUGGCAGCUGGUUCUACACGUGUAAUAGACUAUUCAUUUAUUAUUGAUAAAUAUUACUCUGUUGAGGCACUAACAAUGAUAUGACGUCCUAAAUUUAAUCCUAUAGCAGAUAAGGAUUAUUGACAGCCAUAUUCUGAUUAUAUCUUAAUUCCAAACGAGUCUAUGCGGAGGUCAAAGAAGAGUUGUCUAAAAUCAGUAUGGAUUCGUAACGAUAUGGACAUAAGAGAGAAGAAAGCGGAUUAUAUAUAUGUGAAAUGUGCAAACAGAAAGAAUGUAAUAGGCGAAAAUGCCUUAGCCGAAAAAAAUAAGGCUAGAUUAGAGAAACGGAAGAUGAGAGAGAAAAAAAUAAUCUCCCACCCACUAAACAUAUUAACCUAUAUAAAAGUUAUUAACUUUUUUUUUUUCUAAUCUAUAAAAAAUAAGACUAGAUUAAGAAUAUUUUUUAAAAGAAGGCUAGAUAGAAAAAAAAUAAAUAAAUAAAAAUUCUCUAAAGAGGCUAGAGAUGGCAAUAGUUCUCACUCGUGAUCAUUUUUAGAUGGACCCCUAAAAUUAAAUGUAGGGUCAUUGCUUGUUUUUGGGUCCAAUUUUCGGACGAUUUGCCCCGACUAAGGAAUCUCCGUUUGCGUCCCCACUUUCAAAUGAAACUUGUCUUAGCCAGCCUUUUAUUUUCCUGUCCGGCUGUCCCCACCGCACCCCACCCCACUCAUCCUGAUUAUGUUAACGCGGAUGGAUAAGCCCGAAGGGAGGCGACAAAGAUGACGAACGGUGAGAGAGGUUUAAAUGAAAGGGCAUGCCUUGCUUUAUUUUUAUUUUUAUUUUUAUUUUUAUUUGUUUAUUUAUUUUUGGGCGUGAACUGUGAUGACGCCUGUGGACUUCACACGCCCAUCCUGUCUGUUCUCACUUAUAGCAGAAUUUCGGAACUAGAAAGCUUAGCCUAUCUGAAUUCUGAAACCCAUGAUGUAGACCGAAUAUGAAUGACUCUUUUGCGCUUUUCCUUUUGUUUCAUGUACAUUUCACUUCUCAAUGUGAAAAAUCCGAGACAAUCCUGCUUUCUCUAUACUUUUCAAUUUUGGAAAUUUAUCUCUUCAUAAUUAGUACUCUAAUUUUGGGAUUUCA